AUUGAACGCUGGCGGCAUGCCUUACACAUGCAAGUCGAACGGUAACGCGGGGCAACCUGGCGACGAGUGGCGAACGGGUGAGUAAUAUAUCGGAACGUGCCCAGUAGUGGGGGAUAGCCCGGCGAAAGCCGGAUUAAUACCGCAUACGACCUACGGGUGAAAGGGGGGAUCGCAAGACCUCUCGCUAUUGGAGCGGCCGAUAUCAGAUUAGGUAGUUGGUGGGGUAAAAGCCCACCAAGCCAACGAUCUGUAGCUGGUCUGAGAGGACGACCAGCCACACUGGGACUGAGACACGGCCCAGACUCCUACGGGAGGCAGCAGUGGGGAAUUUUGGACAAUGGGCGAAAGCCUGAUCCAGCCAUGCCGCGUGCGGGAAGAAGGCCUUCGGGUUGUAAACCGCUUUUGUCAGGGAAGAAAUCCUUUGAGUUAAUACCUCGGGGGGAUGACGGUACCUGAAGAAUAAGCACCGGCUAACUACGUGCCAGCAGCCGCAGUAAUAC
rnacentral:rRNA from 1 species